GACGAACGCUGGCGGCGUGCCUAACACAUGCAAGUCGAGCGAGGAAGAGGGAGCUUGCUUCCGAAUCCUAGCGGCGGACGGGUGAGUAACGCGUGAGCAAUCUGCCUCAGACAGGGGGAUAACGCAUCGAAAGAUGUGCUAAUACCGCGUAAGACCACAGCACCGCAUGGUGCAGGGGUCAAAGGAGCAAUCCGGUUUGAGAUGAGCUCGCGUCCGAUUAGCUAGUUGGUGAGAUAACAGCCCACCAAGGCGACGAUCGGUAGCCGACCUGAGAGGGUGAUCGGCCACAUUGGAACUGAGACACGGUCCAGACUCCUACGGGAGGCAGCAGUGGGGAAUAUUGGGCAAUGGGCGAAAGCCUGACCCAGCAACGCCGCGUGAGGGAAGAAGGGUUUACGGCUCGUAAACCUCUGUCCUAUGGACGAGAAGAUGACGGUA
rnacentral:rRNA from 1 species